GAGUGAGGGAUUUGCGCUGUGAAGUUACACAGACAUUUAAGCCCCCAUGUUUCAUGUGUUAAUUCAUGAGGAUAAAAAGAGAGUCUCGCUGGGCUUUGUUGGAUCCGGUCCCUCCGGAGCGGAGAUGAGCGGCGGGCGAUACAUCACGCCAGCAAACAGCUCUCUUAGUCAUUCGUUGCUGCUCCCUUUUUUUUCCCCCCCCGAGAAACAUCCGUCUCAUGACUGACUUUCGUUUUACAGCGGAGGAGAAAUCUGUGAGCUCGCUCGCUCGAAGUGACACGGAAGGAACGAGGAGACACGGAAAGCAGUGAGAGGAGAAAUAGGCGGGUGAGGCUCCUCGGCUCCCGCUGGGUUGGUCCUCCCGGUGUGGCGCCGGCGUGGUCUGAUGGCCACGCCGGCUCCUUUUGUCGGCCAUUAUCUGUACCACCUUUUCUUCUUCUACAGAGUCUCUGUUGCUUAAGAAUGAAGAGCAGCCAUAAAAGGCUUCCUCCCGGGGGGAUUUUAGCAUCCAAAAGCCACAACAACAGGCCACUGCCCUUCCACUCGCAAAUGCCAUCCAAGCUCAGCCGUGCUGAACCUUCUCAAGCCAUGCAGAACUUCAACCACUUUCACUCUUCUUUAUGCCGCCGAAAGGCUUAUCCGCAAAGGGAAUUACAGCAGGAAUCUUUUUUUUGUGUUGAGAGAUAGAAUUUGGGAUGUCUUUCUGUGGAAGAACACAUCGGUGUAGCUGGUGAGCCAAUCACAAAGUGUAAAAAAAAGACAGAUUUCAAGGCCUGACCACCCGCCGGAGCAACGGACAAAUAAGCGCUCCAUGCCCGGCGAGGCCGACGGAUUGGGUCACUGCUAAGAGCCGGACCCCAUGUAGCAGAGGCCCCACCCUUUCCUAUAUUCCACUGAGGACAGACCCCCAACAGGUCACCGCGACACCUGCUUUGAAGUGUUUGCGUAUCAGCGACUCUUAUCAGUGCAGGUGUGAAGCGGUGAAAGUGGAGCCAGCGAGGCGGCGCCGGGAAUGAAUCUGGGUCUCAUUUCUGGACCGGCUGCUGAAAAGUUGAGACCCAUUCAGCGUGACGAGCAUCUUUUUUUUUUUUUUACCAAAGUGUGGAUACAACCGUCUUAUCGGCCGUCAUCUCUCAUCUGGGAGCCGUUGCAGCAAACGUGAAGCAGAGUCCCAUCGAGUAUAAUUCACGGCAUUUCUUGUUGAGCGGAUGGUGUUGUUCCCUCGUGGAGAGCAUCUGGCAAACAUGUGUGUCGGUUUGAGAUGCGCUUAAUUAAUUUCGGGCAGGCCCAGUGGCUUCGAAUGACGCCCUCUGUGUGCUCACCUGUGAGCGACGCGAUGACAGCCGGCUGGAUUUGGGGCGAUGGCACUUUCCCGGCCUGUAAUCGCCCCCCCCUGCGGCUCUGCUUCUGUGUCUCCGCUCAGCUCGAUACGCCGCGCUGAGACAGGCACAACAAAGCGCGGAGAACGUUUCACCGUAGAGCGAUCCCCUGUCAAACUAAACGUCUCCACAAACGUCCCGUCCCGUAUUCUCUGCUUUCGCAGCACUUUUAUCAAAUGUAAUGAAGAAACUUAAUCGUUCUUUUGUUCCUCCCGGCGUCCAAAAAAAUGGUUUGUUGACGCCGACAUGUCUUUUGUAGUAACAAGAUGAAUUAUGGAACACUUGUGGAACAAUUUAUCAGUCAUAUAUUUGGUAGCGUAAACUGGACCAUAUACGUGGGCUUUAAAAGAGGUUUGUGGUUUGUGGAGCAGUGAUUUAACGGCCGGGGAGCAGAAUAUAAUAUGCUUACAAAUGUCUUCAUGGCUACUUUGUGAGAACUAUCGCAUUCCCUUUGCAUUCCUUCUACAAACAGGUAUGAUUAAAAGAGAAAUCUGAAAUGAUUUACUUUUUAUGUCAGCAUUUAAAAACUCCCUCUUACUGCUGGUCACAGCCCCCCAUUCAUCUCGACCUAUAUCACGCAUACUUCUCACCUGCAUUUUGAACAGAGAUUCUGUUAAAGAACUAAAAGCCGUACCGAUAACGGCCUUUUGUAUAGUGAAAGAGAAAAAAGAAAUGUAGGGGGGUAGCUGACAGAUGUCGAGGAUAUUGGGAAAGUAAAACUGUAUAGAUUGCAGUCAGGAAACUCAAACUCAGCUAAACUCAAUAGGAACAAUUAAAGAGGGAUUACACCCAUUUUUUAUACAGGUUAUUCCUAAACUUUAAGACAGUUCAAUCAUCAAGUACACAUGAAAAACCUCAAAUAUAAAAGGUCAUGAUGUCUAAAGUGUAAAGAUCUCACUUGGGGAAAACUAACAUUCAGUUGCCCAGUCCAAUGCCCAAUGUUCAACAUGAGAACUCCAUCUGGAGGCCCAUGAAGAGUUUCCAAUAUAGUACUGCAUAAUUUGAUAUUCACUGCAUUUCUAAGAAGCUAUUUCAGUAUUUCCAAACAGUCUACUCCCAUUGAUCUAAUAUCUCAUACUAAUCUCAUACGUGGGUUGGGGGGGCAAAAGAAUAACAGCAGACCUCAGAAUCAAACUUAAUAAAAAGGGACUACAUUACAAUAAAAAAAGAAUAGCCACAUUGAAGCUUCUUCAGAUAAUUCAGCUCUGGACCGCAUUCAUUACCUGUGAAAUGAUAAAGGUUUGCCUAAAGCUGGUGUAACAUUCAUCUUGUUCACAAACAGCCUGUCAGAGCUGGUUAUCCGGAGAGAGUUUUCUGGAGUCCAAUGCGCCCGAUAUUAAUGCUGAAACUAUAUUUAUUUUGACCUAGACUAAAUAAUUUACGAUGGAGCACACUGUGGACACACUUUAACAUUUGAUUUAAUGAGAAAGUGUGUCCAAACGUCGGACUGGUAGCCUACAUAUAUAUGCUUUAUUUAGAUCACAGUCCUGGCAACAGGCCUAAUGACCACUGAACUGCACACGGCCCGUUGAAAGGGAAAGUGAGCUCAGUGCUUUAGUAGCACCCUAAAGGUCACGGGGUUGUUUGACUUACAAAUGUGCCCCACCUUGGUAUAAUCUUCUUCAAAAAAAGAUAUCAAAGUGCUUUCACAGCUUGUGGAUUUAUGAAAAUACAAAGGUCUACAUAUGACUUUAGAUUCAUGUCCAACACUUGUGUCCCAGGAGAUUGAAAACAUGUGCAAGCUCGACUUGGUGCAAAGUGCAAAGAUAAGAGCGGCGUUUGUUGCGUAUUCCUGUGAUCCGAUGAGCUAUAAAUAGAUGUGUAUCUCAAAUCUAUCUGAAUGAAGUACUGUAGCCUG